AAAACUCACCAGGUCAGGACACGGUAAGGAUUGACGGACUGAAGGCUUCUUUCUCGAUUCCGUGGAAAGUGGUGCAUGGCCGUUUUUGGUUGGUGGAUCGAUCCGUCUGGUUAAUUCCGUUAACGAACGAGACCUCGGCACUCCGAAUAGCGCGGCGGACGUCGCGGCCUCCGGGCCGUCUUCCGCACGAGCUUCUUAGAGGGACCGUCCCCCGCCGGGGAAGGAGGUGCGAGGCAACGACAGGUCUGUGAUGCCCUUAGAUGUUCUGGGCCGCACGCGCAUUACACUGACGCGUCCAACGGGUGACUCCCGACCCGAAGGGGCCGGGGAAUCCGCAAGGCGCGUCGUGAUGGGGAUUGAACGUUGCAAUUGUUGUUCACGAACGAGGAAUUCCUAGUAGGCGCGGGUCAUCAACCCCGCGCCGAUUACGUCCCUGCCCUUUGUACACACCGCCCGC
rnacentral:rRNA from 1 species